UACGUAGGGUGCAAGCGUUGUCCGGAAUUAUUGGGCGUAAAGAGCUCGUAGGCGGUCUGUCGCGUCGGCUGUGAAAACUCGGGGCUCAACCCCGAGCUUGCAGUCGAUACGGGCAGGCUAGAGUUCGGCAGGGGAGACUGGAAUUCCAGGUGUAGCGGUGAAAUGCGUAGAUAUCUGGAGGAACACCGGUGGCGAAGGCGGCAUCCUGGACCGGCAUUGACGCUGAGGCGCGAAAGCCAGGGGAGCAAAGCGGG
rnacentral:rRNA from 1 species